UACGGGGGGGGGCAAGCGUUGUUCGGAAUUACUGGGCGUAAAGGGCUCGUAGGCGGCCAACUAAGUCAGACGUGAAAUCCCCAGGCUUAACCUGGGAACUGCGUCUGAUACUGGAUGGCUUGAAUUCGGGAGAGGGAUGCAGAAUUCCAGGUGUAGCGGUGAAAUGCGUAGAUAUCUGGAGGAAUACCGGUGGCGAAGGCGGCAUCCUGGACCGACAUUGACGCUGAGGAGCGAAAGCUAGGGGAGCAAACGGG
rnacentral:rRNA from 1 species